rnacentral:tRNA from 1 species
GGAGAGGUGGUCGAGCGGUUUAAGGCACUCGCCUGGAACGCGAGAGAACCUUAACGGGUUCCGUGGGUUCGAAUCCCACCCUCUCCGCCA